AGACCCGAAACCCGGUGAUCUAGCCAUGGGCAGGUUGAAGGUUGGGUAACACUAACUGGAGGACCGAACCGACUAAUGUUGAAAAAUUAGCGGAUGACCUGUGGCUGGGGGUGAAAGGCCAAUCAAACCGGGAGAUAGCUGGUUCUCCCCGAAAGCUAUUUAGGUAGCGCCUCGUGAAUUCAUCUCCGGGGGUAGAGCACUGUUUCGGCUAGGGGGCCAUCCCGGCUUACCAACCCGAUGCAAACUGCGAAUACCGGAGAAUGUUAUCACGGGAGACACACGGCGGGUGCUAACGUCCGUCGUGAAGAGGGAAACAACCCAGACCGCCAGCUAAGGUCCCAAAGUCAUGGUUAAGUGGGAAACGAUGUGGGAAGGCCCAGACAGCCAGGAUGUUGGCUUAGAAGCAGCCAUCAUUUAAAGAAAGCGUAAUAGCUCACUGGUCGAGUCGGCCUGCGCGGAAGAUGUAACGGGGCUAAACCAUGCACCGAAGCUGCGGCAGCGACACUGUGUGUUGUUGGGUAGGGGAGCGUUCUGUAAGCCUGCGAAGGUGGCCUGUGAGGGUUGCUGGAGGUAUCAGAAGUGCGAAUGCUGACAUAAGUAACGAUAAAGCGGGUGAAAAGCCCGCUCGCCGGAAGACCAAGGGUUCCUGUCCAACGUUAAUCGGGGCAGGGUGAGUCGACCCCUAAGGCGAGGCCGAAAGGCGUAGUCGAUGGGAAACGGGUUAAUAUUCCCGUACUUGGUGUUACUGCGAAGGGGGGACGGAGAAGGCUAUGUUGGCCGGGCGACGGUUGUCCCGGUUUAAGCGUGUAGGUGUGUGUUCCAGGUAAAUCCGGUUCACUUUAACACUGAGGCGUGACGACGAGGCACUACGGUGCUGAAGCAACAAAUGCCCUGCUUCCAGGAAAAGCCUCUAAGCAUCAGGUAACAUCAAAUCGUACCCCAAACCGACACAGGUGGUCAGGUAGAGAAUACCAAGGCGCUUGAGAGAACUCGGGUGAAGGAACUAGGCAAAAUGGUGCCGUAACUUCGGGAGAAGGCACGCUGACACGUAGGUGAAGUGAUUUACUCAUGGAGCUGAAGUCAGUCGAAGAUACCAGCUGGCUGCAACUGUUUAUUAAAAACACAGCACUGUGCAAACACGAAAGUGGACGUAUACGGUGUGACGCCUGCCCGGUGCCGGAAGGUUAAUUGAUGGGGUCAGCGCAAGCGAAGCUCCUGAUCGAAGCCCCGGUAAACGGCGGCCGUAACUAUAACGGUCCUAAGGUAGCGAAAUUCCUUGUCGGGUAAGUUCCGACCUGCACGAAUGGCGUAAUGAUGGCCAGGCUGUCUCCACCCGAGACUCAGUGAAAUUGAACUCGCUGUGAAGAUGCAGUGUACCCGCGGCAAGACGGAAAGACCCCGUGAACCUUUACUAUAGCUUGACACUGAACAUUGAGCCUUGAUGUGUAGGAUAGGUGGGAGGCUUUGAAGUGUGGACGCCAGUCUGCAUGGAGCCGACCUUGAAAUACCACCCUUUAAUGUUUGAUGUUCUAACGUGGACCCGUUACCCGGGUUGCGGACAGUGUCUGGUGGGUAGUUUGACUGGGGCGGUCUCCUCCUAAAGAGUAACGGAGGAGCACGAAGGUUGGCUAAUCCUGGUCGGACAUCAGGAGGUUAGUGCAAUGGCAUAAGCCAGCUUGACUGCGAGCGUGACGGCGCGAGCAGGUGCGAAAGCAGGUCAUAGUGAUCCGGUGGUUCUGAAUGGAAGGGCCAUCGCUCAACGGAUAAAAGGUACUCCGGGGAUAACAGGCUGAUACCGCCCAAGAGUUCAUAUCGACGGCGGUGUUUGGCACCUCGAUGUCGGCUCAUCACAUCCUGGGGCUGAAGUAGGUCCCAAGGGUAUGGCUGUUCGCCAUUUAAAGUGGUACGCGAGCUGGGUUUAGAACGUCGUGAGACAGUUCGGUCCCUAUCUGCCGUGGGCGCUGGAGAACUGAGGGGGGCUGCUCCUAGUACGAGAGGACCGGAGUGGACGCAUCACUGGUGUUCGGGUUGUCAUGCCAAUGGCACUGCCCGGUAGCUAAAUGCGGAAGAGAUAAGUGCUGAAAGCAUCUAAGCACGAAACUUGCCCCGAGAUGAGUUCUCCCUGAGACUUAAAGUCUCCUGAAGGAACGUUGAAGACGACGACGUUGAUAGGCCGGGUGUGUAAGCGCAGCGAUGCGUUGAGCUAACCGGUACUAAUGAACCGUGAGGCUUAA
rnacentral:rRNA from 1 species